GGACACCCGUGCCUUGACCCAUAGGUGUCAAACUCAGGUCCUGGAGGGCCGAUGCCCUGCAUGUUUUCCAAGUCUCUCUGUUGCAACACACCUGAUUCAAAUGAACAGAUCAUCAGCAAGCUCUGCGGAAGCCUGACAUUGAACCUGUUCAUUUGAAUAAGGUGUGUUGCAACAGAGAGACUUGGAAAACAUGCAGGACAGCGGCCCUCCAUACCUGAGUUUGACACCUAUGCCUUAACCAAUCUCAAUCAUAGAUUACGGAGAUGUACUGUAUGUAUAAUUUUCACAAAAUGUCUUCAACACGCUAAGCACCAUACACUGUACCACACUGCCACCCGCUUUGUCACCGGUGCUUCCUUUCACUCACCACUGUGAGCUGUUCUCCGUGGUUCAUUGGCCCUCUCUGCACUCACGCAGACAUAUUCAUUGGUUCAUGUUUAUCGAUGGAUCCCAGCCCCCCAUCUUUGCUCACUUUGAAUACACCCAUCACACUGUCCGUUCCAGUAGUUUUAUAAACCUCUUUGUUUCCAAAGUCAGCACUACUUCUGAAAUUAUUUUCAAUUGUCUGCCCCAAACUACUGGAACACUCCAGAUUCUAGAACAAACAACGCACACCUAAUUCAUCCCAAUAUGAUCAUUGAAAAAAAGGACUGAGGGAUAGCCAUACAAUUUCAUCGCUGCCGCUGAAUCUUGUAUCCAUCAUGCCAAGUAAUGUAAUGGGUUUAAUUCUAUCACGUUGUACAGUUUGAUGUAUACGCUAUAUGGACAGUCAUACCUCGGUUUUUGAACGUCUGUGUUCUCGACCAACUUAGUUUUCGACCAGAAGAUUCGAAUUUUUUAAGCCUCGGUUCCAACGAAAUACCGGUUUUCGUCCAAACUAAGCAAAGGUGACUAUUCCACUCGACUCCUCUCGGCUUCCUUACAUGAGGAAGUGACGCUCCUUGUGUAGACAAGGAAGCGAGGCUUCCUGGUUUCCUCGUGUUGCGUUCAUUUUGAGCAGACUUGUCUUUUGAGGUUGACGCAAAUCGGACUGUUAUUUCUGCAUUGUGUAUUAGCCCCUAAUAAUGGCACCAAAGAAAACAAGUCGAAGUAGGAAAGCUGGUCAAGAAAAGAGGAAAGUUGUGCGCAAAACUAUUGCAUUUAAGAAAGAUUUGAUAGCGAAAUAUGAAUCCGGUGUGCGCGUGUCUGUGUUGGCUAAGGAGUUCGGCAUGCCGAAGUCGACUAUAAGCAGCAUCCUAAAAAAGAAAGAACUUCUUAAAGUAAGUGAUGUGGCAAAAGGAUCUAGCGUGCUUAGCAAACAAAGGCCACAGGUAUUGGAGGAAGUGGAGAAACGUUUGCUUAUUUUCAUCAACGAGAAACAGCUUACAGGGGAUAGUGUUAGCCAAGAUGCGAUUUGUGGCAAAGCAAGACAAUUGUAUGGCGAUUUGAUAAAAAAUGAUCCUAGCAUUGUUCCUGCAGAGUUUGAUUUUAAAGCAAGCAGAGGGUGGUUCGAAAAGUUUAGAAGAAGAAGUGGGAUACACUGCGUGAUUCAUCAUGGGGAGGCAGUCAGUUCAGACCAGGAAGCUGCCGAAAUGUUUAAAGUUGAGUUUGAAAAUGUUGUCAAGGUUGAGGAAUAUUUUCCCCAGAAAACUUUUAAUAUGAACGAGACUGGACAUUUGGGGGAAAAAAUGCCACGAAGGACCUACAUCACGUGUGAGCAGUCGUUUCCAGACCACACACAAAGUGAUGACGAGGAGCUAAUCGCCGAACAUCGUGACGAGCUCACGACAGAAGAACUUCAGCACCUUCAGGAAGAACAUAAGAAGUUGUUGAAGGAGGAGAUGUCUUCCGAUGACGAUGGGGGGAGGAAUGAUGCCUCUACUGCUAUUAUCAAAGAAAUGUGUGCAAAAUGGAAUGACAUCCAAAACUUUGUGGACCUGUAUCAUCCAGAUAAAGCUGCAAGCAGUCGAGCUGUGUAUGCAUUUAAUGACAUUGUUAUUAGCCACUUUCGUAAUAUUCUCAAAAGAAGGGAGAAACAAGUUACACUCGAUAGAUUCUUGACGAAAAGGAAGGAACAACCCGUGGCAGAGUCUCCCCAACCGAAGAACAAUGCUGGAGUAGAGUUACCCGACGUUAAGGAAGAGGAUUCUCCUUUCGAGAAUUAACCUUCCUUCCUGUUACUACAGAUGUAAGUGGUGUGCAUGUACAACGGCUCCGCGUUUUCCUGUUGAUCUGUGGCCUCAGAAGAGUCAAGGACCCUCUCUAUUUAGUGGAGCAUUUCUCAGAGUGGCAUAGUGAGAAUCCUCAGAAUGUGCUUGUUAUAAUUGGUCCAAA